AUUGAACGCUGGCGGCAGGCCUAACACAUGCAAGUCGGGCGAGCGGCGGACGGGUGAGUAAUGUAUGGGGAUCUGCCUGAUGGCGGGGGAUAACUACUGGAAACGGUAGCUAAUACCGCAUACCAUCAGAUGAACCCAUAUGGGAUUAGCUAGUAGGUGAGGUAACGGCUUACCUAGGCGACGAUCCCUAGCUGGUCUGAGAGGAUGACCAGCCACAACGGAACUGAGCAACGGGCCAGAAUCCUCCGAGAGGCAGCAGUGGGGAAGAUUGAACAACGGGCGGAAGAAGGAUGCAGCAAUGCCGCGGGGGUGAAGAAGGCCUUCGGGGUGUAAAGAACUUUCAGCGAGGAGGCGUCACUCGCAGAAGAAGAAGCGGCUAACUCCGUGCCAGCAGCCGCGGUAAUUC
rnacentral:rRNA from 1 species